UUUUCUUUGUACUACAAAAUAUAUU
rnacentral:piRNA from 1 species